AUUGUUGUGCAACUGGUAACCCAAAAAUAAAAAUGUGGUUGUAAAUGCAUUUACCGGUCAUUCUGAUAUUAAUGCUCGCUAUGGGAACACAGGAUGGCCGGGCAGUGAUAGUUGUACAUUUCCAUCACUCGUUGUGUUGAUUUCAUCAUGUCCAUUAGGUGAUGUUUUUUCACUAUAGAAUCAUAUUGCAAAUGCACGUGCAUUGUUGUGCAACUGGUAACCCAAAAAUAAAAAUAUGGUUGUAAAUGCAUUUACCGGUCAUUCUGAUAUUAAUGCCCGCUAUGGGAACACAGGAUGGCCGGGCAGUGAUAGUUGUACAUUUCCAUCACUCGUUGUGUUGAUUUCAUCAUGUCCAUUAGGUGAUGUUUUUACACUAUAGAAUCAUAUUGCAAGUGCGCGCGCAUUUGCAAUAUGUUUCAAUGUGCAUUUACCAUAUGAAAUUUGACAUGCUCAAAAAUGCAAAAUUGACUGGUCUGAUGGACACAGGAUGGCCGAGCAGUGAUAGUUGUACAUUUCCAUCACUCGUUGUGUUGAUUUCAUCAUGUCCAUUAGGUGAUGUUUUUACACUAUAGAAUCAUAUUGCAAGUGCGCGCGCAUUUGCAAUAUGUUUCAAUGUGCAUUUACCAUAUGAAAUUUGACAUGCUCAAAAAUGCAAAAUUGACUGGUCUGAUGAACACAGGAUGGCUGAGCAGUGAUAGUUGUACAUUUCCAUCACUCGUUGUGUUGAUUUCAUCAUGUCCAUUUGUUUAUGUUUUCUCACUUUUGCAAAGUCACUGUGCAUUUGCAAUAUGGUUCAAUGGGCAGGUACCAUCACGAAUUUGUCAUGCUAUAAAAAUCCUGCAGGAAUGUGAAAUUGACUGGCCUGAUGAACACAGGAUGGCCUGGCAGUGAUAGUUGUUCCUUUCCAUCACUCGUUGUGUUGAUUUCAUCAUGUCCAUUAGGUGAUGUUUUUUCACUAUAGAAUCAUAUUGCAAAUGCACGUGCAUUGUUGUGCAACUGGUAACCCAAAAAUAAAAAUAUGGUUGUAAAUGCAUUUACCGGUCAUUCUGAUAUUAAUGCUCGCUAUGGGAACACAGGAUGGCCGGGCAGUGAUAGUUGUACAUUUCCAUCACUCGUUGUGUUGAUUUCAUCAUGUCCAUUAGGUGAUGUUUUUUCACUAUAGAAUCAUAUUGCAAAUGCACGUGCAUUGUUGUGCAACUGGUAACCCAAAAAUAAAAAUAUGGUUGUAAAUGCAUUUACCGGUCAUUCUGAUAUUAAUGCUCGCUAUGGGAACACAGGAUGGCCGGGCAGUGAUAGUUGUACAUUUCCAUCACUCGUUGUGUUGAUUUCAUCAUGUCCAUUAGGUGAUGUUUUUUCACUAUAGAAUCAUAUUGCAAAUGCACGUGCAUUGUUGUGCAACUGGUAACCCAAAAAUAAAAAUAUGGUUGUAAAUGCAUUUACCGGUCAUUCUGAUAUUAAUGCUCGCUAUGGGAACACAGGAUGGCCGGGCAGUGAUAGUUGUACAUUUCCAUCACUCGUUGUGUUGAUUUCAUCAUGUCCAUUAGGUGAUGUUUUUACACUAUAGAAUCAUAUUGCAAGUGCGCGCGCAUUUGCAAUAUGUUUCAAUGUGCAUUUACCAUAUGAAAUUUGACAUGCUCAAAAAUGCAAAAUUGACUGGUCUGAUGGACACAGGAUGGCCGAGCAGUGAUAGUUGUACAUUUCCAUCACUCGUUGUGUUGAUUUCAUCAUGUCCAUUAGGUGAUGUUUUUACACUAUAGAAUCAUAUUGCAAGUGCGCGCGCAUUUGCAAUAUGUUUCAAUGUGCAUUUACCAUAUGAAAUUUGACAUGCUCAAAAAUGCAAAAUUGACUGGUCUGAUGAACACAGGAUGGCUGAGCAGUGAUAGUUGUACAUUUCCAUCACUCGUUGUGUUGAUUUCAUCAUGUCCAUUUGUUUAUGUUUUCUCACUUUUGCAAAGUCACUGUGCAUUUGCAAUAUGGUUCAAUGGGCAGGUACCAUCACGAAUUUGUCAUGCUAUAAAAAUCCUGCAGGAAUGUGAAAUUGACUGGCCUGAUGAACACAGGAUGGCCUGGCAGUGAUAGUUGUUCCUUUCCAUCACUCGUUGUGUUGAUUUCAUCAUGUCCAUUAGGUGAUGUUUUUUCACUAUAGAAUCAUAUU